UACGUAGGUGGCAAGCGUUGUCCGGAAUUAUUGGGCGUAAAGAGCUUGUAGGCGGUCUGUCGCGUCUGCUGUGAAAAUCCGGGGCUCAACCCCGGACUUGCAGUGGGUACGGGCAGACUAGAGUGUGGUAGGGGAGACUGGAAUUCCUGGUGUAGCGGUGAAAUGCGCAGAUAUCAGGAGGAACACCGAUGGCGAAGGCAGGUCUCUGGGCCACUACUGACGCUGAGAAGCGAAAGCAUGGGGAGCGAACAGG
rnacentral:rRNA from 1 species